rnacentral:rRNA from 1 species
UACAGAGGUCUCAAGCGUUGUUCGGAUUUACUGGGCGUAAAGGGCGCGUAGGCGGCAUGUUAAGUCAGCUGUGAAAUCUCCGAGCUUAACUCGGAACUGUCAGCUGAUACUGAUGUGCUAGAGUGCAGAAGGGGCAAUCGGAAUUCUUGGUGUAGCGGUGAAAUGCGUAGAUAUCAAGAGGAACACCUGAGGUGAAGACGGGUUGCUGGGCUGACACUGACGCUGAGGCGCGAAAGCUAGGGGAGCGAACGGG